UACGGAGGGUGCAAGCGUUAAUCGGAAUCACUGGGCGUAAAGCGCAUGUAGGCUGUUUAGUAAGUCAGGGUGAAAUCCCACGGCUCAACCGUGGAACUGCCUUUGAUACUGCUAAACUUGAAUUCUGGAGAGGGUGGCGGAAUUCCAGGUGUAGCGGUGAAAUGCGUAGAUAUCGGGAGGAACACCGGUGGCGAAGGCGGCUUUCUGGCCAGUUACUGACGCUCAUGCGCGAAAGCUGGGGUAGCGAACCGGAUUAGAUACCCCGGUAGUCCCU
rnacentral:rRNA from 1 species